rnacentral:rRNA from 1 species
CUACGGGAUGCAGCAGUGAGGAAUAUUGCACAAUGGGGGGAACCCUGAUGCAGCAACGCCGCGUGGAGGAUGACGCAUUUCGGUGUGUAAACUCCUUUUAUAUGUCAAGAAAAUGACGGUAGCAUAUGAAUAAGCACCGGCUAACUCCGUGCCAGCAGCCGCGGUAAUACGGAGGGUGCAAGCGUUACUCGGAAUCACUGGGCGUAAAGGACGCGUAGGCGGGUUGGAAAGUCAGGUGUGAAAUCCUACAGCUUAACUGUAGAACUGCACUUGAAACUUCUAAUCUAGAGUAUGGGAGGGGGAGAUGGAAUUAGGGGUGGAGGGGUAAAAUCCGUAGAUAUCACUAGGAAUACCUAAAGCGAAGGCGAUCUCCUGGAACAUUACUGACGCUAAGGCGUGAAAGCGUGGGGAGCAAACAGGAUUAGAUACCCCCGUAGUC